GACGAACGCUGGCGGCGUGCUUAACACAUGCAAGUCGAACGGAAAGGCCCUGCUUUUGUGGGGUGCUCGAGUGGCGAACGGGUGAGUAACACGUGAGUAACCUGCCCUUGACUUUGGGAUAACUUCAGGAAACUGGGGCUAAUACCGGAUAGGAGCUCCUGCCGCAUGGUGGGGGUUGGAAAGUUUCGGCGGUUGGGGAUGGACUCGCGGCUUAUCAGCUUGUUGGUGGGGUAGUGGCUUACCAAGGCUUUGACGGGUAGCCGGCCUGAGAGGGUGACCGGCCACAUUGGGACUGAGAUACGGCCCAGACUCCUACGGGAGGCAGCAGUGGAGAAUAUUGCACAAUGGGCGGAAGCCUGAUGCAGCAACGCCGCGUGCGGGAUGACGGCCUUCGGGUUGUAAACCGCUUUCGCCUGUGACGAAGCGUGAGUGACGGUAAUGGGUAAAGAAGCACCGGCUAACUACGUG
rnacentral:rRNA from 1 species